UGCUUAUCACACAUUUUGGUGCCAUAUCUACAAGUGGCUGGUGACUGCAAGUAUCUCAGAAACCUGCAUGCAUCUAUGCCAUUCCUAUCACAGUGCAUGGAGCAAGCUUCACAUAACACUCAGACAAAGAGAGUUUAAUUAUGGUUAUAUAUCAGACUCAGUUUAUUGCUCAGUCUAUUAGGUGCAGUGCUGUUAAUAUUGUUAGUGGUAGUAUUAGUACAAUUAAUGUAUUUAUUUUCAUUAAUUUAUCAAUAUUUAUUUAUUAUAUUCAUAGUGUUUGAAAAUUCUAAUACUAGUAUUAAGAUAAACAAAAAUAUCAGAAAUAUAUUUAUACUCAUUAAUUAUUAUUGCUUUUCUUAUUAUUACUUCCUUCAAUGUCCUGGCACUUUGACAUCUAGUGCUUUUCCGUCUAGCAGCCAAAACUGUGGUCUUUCUGAAUGUGUAUGUCCUAAGUCUUCAUUGGUGUAACUAGCUAUAUAACAUAAAAAUCUGCAUCUCUCUCCCUUCUCACCCAGUUGUCCCCGUACAUCCUUUCAGUAUCCAAAAAAAUUCAAUUUACAUCUUGUAAUCACUUAACUAAUGCAGUGCAAUCCUCAUCUCUGUAUUUUACCGUGUGGACAUACUCUUUUCUUCCAUGUACCACUGUCAUAUGUUAUUCCACAUCUAACACAACCACAUCCCAACAGAUCCGAACACGUCCGAUAUCAUCCAAGAGAAUGUGGCAGCUGAAGGGGGAGAGGCCAAGAAAGAGGCCAAGGGUGAAAACAUUUAGCCACCCCCCCUGAAGUACAUGGUAGCAUCCAACCCUCUUGGUGAGCUGCAGGAAUGUGCUCCCCAUUGCAGUGCACCAGCUCCAUGUACUGAUUUUGGGUGUGAACUUGAUGGGGUUGGAGGAAACUCGACUCGGCCAUCAAGCUCAUCACAAUAUAACAUGAAAAGUGAAAAUUGCUGCACACAACAGUCUGCUGUCUGCGCCGGGAGGCAAGGCAGCUCAAAGCCCAGGCUGUUACAACUCCUGGGCAGUUUUUGCCCAGAGCCAGCAAUUUUUUAGAUCCAAUAGGGAUGGAUUUUUUCUGAGGUCAGGUUCAACAUGCUGCAAGAUCUAAGCCUAGGAGAUAUGGGUUACAAGAGAGGAGGUUUGCUCUGGCCUUAUACUAUCAAAGUCCAAAUGCUAAUAGAUUUCUAAGCACAGUAUUUCACUUGCCUUCAGUUUCAACACUUCACUCAUGACUCAGGGGUAUUUCAGUACAUGUUGUCUGGAGCAAACAGACUCUGACAGCCCUGCAGCAAAGAGCACAGGCUUUAUCAAAAGAAGAGAAACUUCGUGGGAUUUGCCAUUAUUUAGUAUUACUCUUGUUACGCCAAGAAUUUUUUUCCAUAUACUUUGCCAAAUAUUGCUAGUAAUGCACCAUUGUUAGUCUUGCCUGUUAUAAAUCAGAUCUUGUUCAAUUAACAAGCUUUGGGUGUCUGCCACUUUCCAGUUGUAAUGCAAGGAAUCAUUUAUCUUCCUUGCUGGAUAUCAUAUGUAAUGCACCAUUGUUGGUUUUGCCUGUUACCAAUCAGAUCUUGUUCAGUUAACAAGCUUUAGGUGUCUGCCACUUUCCAAUCGUAAUGCAAGGAAUCCCCUGCCAGAUAUUGCAUGUAAUGCACCAUUGUUAGUUUUGCCUGUUAUAAAUCAGAUCUUGUUCAGCUCACAAGCUUUGAAUAUCUGCCAUUGUUUAUUUCAGGUGUAAUGCUUGGAAGCAUUUGUUCUCUUCCCUACCCAACAGUAUGCAAUACUGUAUUGUGGACCCCUCCCUCUUAAAGGUGCGUGUUUUAAAAAAAAUAACCACGCGUGGUGGACAUGGUCUCACAUGCGUGGACUAAUGGCUAACUAAGCGUACCAUCGCUAACCUAGCGUACCAUCGGUCAUAAUAUUAGGUAAAGGUGCGUGUUCUAAAAAAGAAAUAACCACGCGUGGUGGACCUGGUCUCACAUGCGUGGGCUAAUGGCUAACUAAGCAUACCAUCGCUAACCUAGCGUACCAUCGGAAAUAGUAUUAGGUAAAGGUGCGUGUUCUAAAAAAAAAAAAUAACCACGCGUGGUACAUCUGGUCUCAUGCGUGGGCUAAUCGCUAACUCAACGUACCAUCGCUAACCUAGCGUACCAUUGCUAACCGGAUCGUUGGCAACGCUGCUCAUAUUGCAAUGGCGUCGCCAUGUAAACACAUCGUUCGUAUGUAUAAUAUGCCCUUAAGUACAAUAUGGAGGCGUAAUAUCGUAUUUUCGAGGUGCGGAGUGAUUUUCAAUAAUUACCAAGUGUGGUUUCUGUACGUUGUAAAAAAACCCCGGAAUGUAUGAAAUUUCCAGACAAUUUACCGUUUCACCCAACCAACGAUUUUUUGACGUGGUUCAUGUUUUUCUGGUGAUAAAUGUAGUGAACUGCACGAUUUUGUACCUCAUUUCCGUCGCAGAUGUCUACUUUUCGAGUUAUGCCUCUUUUCAAGUUAUGCCUAUCCCCUACCCUAUACGAUCUUGGGGACCUGUGGGAACACGGGGUUUUUGGGUGGGGGAGCAGGAAAUCGACUAAUAUGCAUUUCAAAUGAGGUCGAUAAAUCAACAGAAUCACAUUAGAACACCAGUGAAAAGGCAUAGCCUACAUUGUUUUGAAUGAGCGGCGGAGGCAGCCAUCUUGAUGUGAGCAGUGUUGCCAACGAUCCGCUAUGGGUGAGCAGUGUUGCCAACGAUCCGCUACAUUUAGCAAAAAUACCUGCAGCCACGAGGAGGUGAGCAGCAUUGCCAUUUCUUUUUUUACAGCAAAGGAAACAGCUCAAAGGCAAAAAAAAAAGAGAAACAAUCAAUUACAAAAUACCUCUAAUCACUGCUCCUAUAAAAAAGGCGGCUGCAAUAUAUAUAUUUUGUCUAGUAAACGUAAGGGAUUAUAUAUCGUUUAAAGGGGGUGGGGUUCCAGGGCCUUGGUAAGGAGAGGGGUCGAGGGGGGCGACCUCAGUUAGUUAGGUCGUCAAGUUCGGUUGGAAUAAUUUAAAUAUGCUCCCCCAUCAGAAACCCCGAAUUCUCACGGGUCCCCCAUAAUCAUUUUAAUUAAUGAUGGGGGAGGGGGGGUCCAGGGGGGGUGGAGCCCCCCUUGGUUAGGAGGGGGGUCGAGGGGGGUGAAGCCCCCCUCAGUUAGCUAGGUCGUAAAGUUCUGAAUAGUUUAACCAUAAAGGAAGGUGAGCGACACAAGGUUGACUUAAGAAAGGAAUAUGACAAACCAGCAGCCUUUGACACUACAGAUUGGAUAUGGUGAUGGAAUCUUAAUGAUGGAUCAAUGGUUAUGCCGAGAUCUACUGCAGCAAAACUGAAACUUAGGGGAUUGCCUUUAACAGUAUAAAAUGAAUACGGGCCCAAAUCAUAAGACUGACGGAGGUCGGUGCCAAAGCUCAUGAGUUUAGUUUUGUCAGUAUUAAUCUUUAAGUCCCACGAUUCUGCAACUUUAAUUAAAGAAUCAAUAUCUCUUUGGACAAUACUAAUGCCCUCCAACACUGUAUUAAGGCUCUGAGGCUUUAUCAGAAGAUAAAGUUAUUCUGGAAUUCAAAGUCCCAGUCUACAGUGGACAAGAAUUGAUUAAUUUGCUUAAAAUUGGCUUUAGGCCAGAAAGGGGAUGCAAAUAAUUUUAUGUUUGAUACUAAAGUAUUGGAGAUGUGAUUUAUGUAAAUAAGGAAAAGAGUAGGACCUAACACAGAACCCUGUGGCACACCGCUAAUUACUGGAAAUGAAGAACUGAUCUGUCCGCCCACUACAACUUCCAUAGUCCUAUGGGAUAGAAAUGUCUUGAUCCAAGAUAGAAUAACACCAUUAAUGCCCACUGAAUUAAGUUUAGUAAAUAGAAUCUGGUGAUUAACAGUGUUGAAGGCUUUUGAAAAAUCAAAGAGAAUAAGAUCAACCAUA